rnacentral:rRNA from 1 species
CGACGUAAGAAACUUGCCUCACAGCUAGGGACGAAAUUUAGAAAUGAAUGCUAAUACCUGAUAUUAUGACUUUAAGGCAUCUUAGAAUUAUGAAAGCUAUAAGCACUGUGAGAGAGCUUUGCGUCCCAUUAGCUAGUUGGAGAGGUAACAGCUCACCAAGGCGAUGAUGGGUAGCCGGCCUGAGAGGGUGAACGGCCACAAGGGAACUGAGACACGGCCCUU